GACACCACUCGCCGCCCCUCCCCCUCACGUCCUUCUUUGGCGGGAGGGGGGUUGCGCGCGGACUCUGCGUGUUCCGGAUGUGCAAACGUCCGAGUGCACCGAACUUCGUGAACGAAACUUCUACUGCCUUGCUGCACAAAGUUGUUGACGGCGUCCGCUUCGGCGGCGACUCUCGACUCGUUUAUUGCUCCAAGUAUAUCGGUAGGGGUAAUUCCGGUUGCGCCCCCCCCCCCCCCCCAUAACGGGGGUUGGGGGGGACCCCAAACUACUUUCG
rnacentral:misc_RNA from 1 species